UACAGAGGGUGCAAGCGUUGCUCGGAAUCAUUGGGCGUAAAGGGUAGGUAGGUGGUCUCAUUUGUCUGGGGUGAAAUCCUUGAGCUUAACUCAAGAAGUGCCCCAGAAACGGUGAGACUAGAGUUCUGGAGAGGGUCGUGGAAUUCCCGGUGUAGCGGUGAAAUGCGUAGAGAUCGGGAGGAACACCAGAGGCGAAGGCGGCGACCUGGACAGAUACUGACACUCAACUACGAAAGCGUGGGGAGCAAACAGGG
rnacentral:rRNA from 1 species